rnacentral:rRNA from 1 species
AGUGAACGCUGGCGGCAGGCCUAACACAUGCAAGUCGAGCGGAUGAAGGGAGCUUGCUCCUGGAUUCAGCGGCGGACGGGUGAGUAAUGCCUAGGAAUCUGCCUGGUAGUGGGGGAUAACGUCCGGAAACGGGCGCUAAUACCGCAUACGUCCUGAGGGAGAAAGUGGGGGAUCUUCGGACCUCACGCUAUCAGAUGAGCCUAGGUCGGAUUAGCUAGUUGGUGGGGUAAAGGCCUACCAAGGCGACGAUCCGUAACUGGUCUGAGAGGAUGAUCAGUCACACUGGAACUGAGACACGGUCCAGACUCCUACGGGAGGCAGCAGUGGGGAAUAUUGGACAAUGGGCGAAGGCCUGAUCCAGCCAUGCCGCGUGUGUGAAGAAGGUCUUCGGAUUGUAAAGCACUUUAAGUUGGGAGGAAGGGCAGUAAGUUAAUACCUUGCUGUUUUGACGUUACCAACAGAAUAAGCACCGGCUAACUUCGUG